rnacentral:rRNA from 1 species
GAUGAACGCUGGCGGCGUGCCUAAUACAUGCAAGUCGAGCGAACGGACGAGAAGCUUGCUUCUCUGAUGUUAGCGGCGGACGGGUGAGUAACACGUGUAUAACCUACCUAUAAGACUGGGAUAACUUCGGGAAACCGGAGCUAAUACCGGAUAAUAUUUUGAACCGCAUGGUUCAAAAGUGAAAGACGGUCUUGCUGUCACUUAUAGAUGGAUCCGCGCUGCAUUAGCUAGUUGGUAAGGUAACGGCUUACCAAGGCAACGAUGCAUAGCCGACCUGAGAGGGUGAUCGGCCACACUGGAACUGAGACACGGUCCAGACUCCUACGGGAGGCAGCAGUAGGGAAUCUUCCGCAAUGGGCGAAAGCCUGACGGAGCAACGCCGCGUGAGUGAUGAAGGUCUUCGGAUCGUAAAUCUCUGUUAUUAGGGAAGAACAUAUGUGUAAGUAACUGUGCACAUCUUGACGGUACCUAAUCAGAAAGCCACGGCUAACUACGUG